GGGCCCGCACAAGCGGUGGAGCGUGUUGCUUAAUUCGAUGCAACGCGAAGAACCUUACCAGGGUUUGACAUCCUGCGAAUCUCUUGGAAACGAGAGAGUGCCUUCGGGAACGCAGUGACAGGUGGUGCAUGGCUGUCGUCAGCUCGUGUCGUGAGAUGUUGGGUUAAGUCCCGCAACGAGCGCAACCCACGUCUUUAGUUGCCAGCAUUUAGUUGGGCACUCUAGAGAGACCGCCGGUGAUAAACCGGAGAAGGUGUGGAUGACGUCAAGUCAUCAUGCCCCUUACAUCUGGGCUACACACGUACUACAAUGCUACGGACAAAGGGCAGCAAACUCGCGAGAGCUAGCAAAUCCCAUAAACGUGGCUC
rnacentral:rRNA from 1 species